rnacentral:rRNA from 1 species
CCUACGGGAGGCAGCAGUGGGGGAUAUUGCACAAUGGGGGGAACCCUGAUGCAGCGACGCCGCGUGGGUGAAGAAGCGCCCCGGCGCGUAAAGCUCUGUCAGCAGGGAAGAAAAUGACGGUACCUGAAGAAGAAGCCCCGGCUAACGACGUGCCAGCAGCCGCGGUAAUACGUAGGGGGCAAGCGUUAUCCGGAUUUACUGGGUGUAAAGGGGGCGCAGACGGCGAUGCAAGCCAGGAGUGAAAGCCCGGGGGCCAACCCCGGGACUGAUCGUGGAACUGCGUGGCGGGAGUGCAGGAGGGGCAGGCGGAAUUCCUAGUGUAGCGGUGAAAUGCGUAGAUAUCAGGAGGAACACCGGUGGCGAAGGCGGCCUGCUGGACUGCAACUGACGUUGAGGCCCGAAAGCGUGGGGAGCAAACAGGAUUAGAUACCCGUGUAGUC